rnacentral:rRNA from 1 species
CUCUAUACGGAGUUACAAAGGACGACAUUAGACGAAUCAUCUGGAAAGAUGAAUCAAAGAAGGUAAUAAUCCUGUAGUCGAAAAUGUUGUCUCUCUUGAGUGGAUCCUGAGUACGACGGAGCACGUGAAAUUCCGUCGGAAUCUGGGAGGACCAUCUCCUAAGGCUAAAUACUCUCUAGUGACCGAUAGCGAACCAGUACCGUGAGGGAAAGGUGAAAAGCACCCCGGAAGGGGAGUGAAAUAGAACCUGAAACCGUGUGCUUACAAGUAGUCAGAGCCCGUUAAUGGGUGAUGGCGUGCCUUUUGUAGAAUGAACCGGCGAGUUACGAUUUGAUGCAAGGUUAAGCAGUAAAUGUGGAGCCGUAGCGAAAGCGAGUCUGAAUAGGGCGUUUAGUAUUUGGUCGUAGACCCGAAACCAGGUGAUCUACCCUUGGUCAGGUUGAAGUUCAGGUAACACUGAAUGGAGGACCGAACCGACUUACGUUGAAAAGUGAGCGGAUGAACUGAGGGUAGCGGAGAAAUUCCAAUCGAACCUGGAGAUAGCUGGUUCUCUCCGAAAUAGCUUUAGGGCUAGCCUCAAGUGAUGAUUAUUGGAGGUAGAGCACUGUUUGGACGAGGGGCCCCUCUCGGGUUACCGAAUUCAGACAAACUCCGAAUGCCAAUUAAUUUAACUUGGGAGUCAGAACAUGGGUGAUAAGGUCCGUGUUCGAAAGGGAAACAGCCCAGACCACCAGCUAAGGUCCCAAAAUAUAUGUUAAGUGGAAAAGGAUGUGGCGUUGCCCAGACAACUAGGAUGUUGGCUUAGAAGCAGCCAUCAUUUAAAGAGUGCGUAAUAGCUCACUAGUCGAGUGACACUGCGCCGAAAAUGUACCGGGGCUAAACAUAUUACCGAAGCUGUGGAUUGUCCUUUGGACAAUGGUAGGAGAGCGUUCUAAGGGCGUUGAAGCAUGAUCGUAAGGACAUGUGGAGCGCUUAGAAGUGAGAAUGCCGGUGUGAGUAGCGAAAGACGGGUGAGAAUCCCGUCCACCGAUUGACUAAGGUUUCCAGAGGAAGGCUCGUCCGCUCUGGGUUAGUCGGGUCCUAAGCUGAGGCCGACAGGCGUAGGCGAUGGAUAA